GGGGCUUUAAUCUUCCACGAGGUCAAGCGCUCUUAGAGAAAUGGAACCUAAUUCCAGAUGGAAUAGAUAUUCUUAUUACACACGGACCGCCUCUUGGUUUUCUAGAUUGGGUUCCUAAGAAAAUGCAAAGGGUGGGCUGUGUGGAGCUGCUGAAUACAAUCCAGAGACGAAUACAACCACGACUUCAUGUUUUUGGACAUAUUCAUGAAGGUUACGGUGUUAUGGCUGAUGGAACAACUACCUAUGUGAAUGCUUCUGUGUGUACCAUGAAUUACCAGCCAUUGAAUCCACCUAUAGUAAUUGAUUUACCUACUCCAAGAAACACAUAAUUGUGGCAGAAUGAAAAUACGUAAUUUAUGCCAAUGUAAGAGCCAAGUAACCAUGAAAUUGUGGCAUUAUUUUUAUUGUUCUUUAUAGACAACGUGGAAAGAUAGAAAUGGACAAAGGCAUUUGGUAUCACAACUUUUUGAAAAUGUAUUCUUGGAUUUAGCAUUUCAUUGUUUUAAAAAAAUUGUUAAUAUGAAAAAGGAGACAACUUCUGCAUUAUAGACAUUGGUUCAUUUUGUAUAUUCCAUAUGCUGUAUUGAAUUUACGAAAAGACACGUCUCUUCAGCAACAUGAUGUGUUACGAAUGCUUGCAGCUUUAUAUGUGUGUUCAGUAACAGCCUUCUUCAUUUAUAUCUGUACAGAGGAAUAAUUACAUUGAGAAUCAAAAUUUGUAAUUGUGUGAAAUACACUUUCUUUAAACAGUAUCUCCCUGUAAUCAUCAAAAGAAUAAUAAUCUUAUUCUACAUUAUUUGGAAAUCUAUACACAUCUUUCAAUUUUACAGUGUGGAAGAAAACUUGUUUGCAACUGGGAGUGAAUAUGAAAAGAAAAAUGUUAUAAUAUGAAUUACUGAAUUGCUGUGCACAGCAGAAACAUUUAAAAAAUGAAAUGGUUUAAAAUGAAAACUCAGGAAUUAGUUUUUCCUCCCGAUAAGUAAGAUAUUCUGCUACUUUUAAAUCUUAUCUACUAACUUUUAGGUUGCAUAGCCUUAGGGCUGAUAGCAGUGGCCUCAGUUGGGUUUUUCUUGAGAAAUGAUGCAGGAAGCAUCAGAUAGAACCUACAAUUACCGAAAGUCUAUUAAACAGAUUAUCCAGGCUCUGUUAU